rnacentral:rRNA from 1 species
AAUGAAGCACUUAUCUUUGAUUCUUCGGAUGAAGAGGUUUGUGACUGAGUGGCGGACGGGUGAGUAACGCGUGGGUAACCUGCCUCAUACAGGGGGGAUAACAGUUAGAAAUGACUGCUAAUACCGCAUAAGACCACAGAGCCGCAUGGCUCGGUGGGAAAAACUCCGGUGGUAUGAGAUGGACCCGCGUCUGAUUAGGUAGUUGGUGGGGUAACGGCCUACCAAGCCAACGAUCAGUAGCCGACCUGAGAGGGUGACCGGCCACAUUGGGACUGAGACACGGCCCAAACUCCUACGGGAGGCAGCAGUGGGGAAUAUUGCACAAUGGGGGAAACCCUGAUGCAGCGACGCCGCGUGAGCGAAGAAGUAUUUCGGUAUGUAAAGCUCUAUCAGCAGGGAAGAAAAUGACGGUACCUGACUAAGAAGCACCGGCUAAAUACGUGCCAGCAGCCGCGGUAAUACGUAUGGUGCAAGCGUUAUCCGGAUUUACUGGGUGUAAAGGGAGCGUAGACGGCUGUGUAAGUCUGAAGUGAAAGCCCGGGGCUCAACCCCGGGACUGCUUUGGAAACUAUGCAGCUAGAGUGUCGGAGAGGUAAGUGGAAUUCCCAGUGUAGCGGUGAAAUGCGUAGAUAUUGGGAGGAACACCAGUGGCGAA